AGAUAAAAGAUUGUCCUCAACCCCUCUGGAAAUCCUGUUCUUUCUGAAUGGGUGGUACUAUGCUACCUAUUUCCUGCUGGAGCUCCUUAUUUUCCUGUACAAAGGUCUCCUGCUGCCAUACCCAACAGCCAACCUAGUCCUAGAUGUGGUGAUGCUGCUCCUUUAUCUUGGCAUUGAAGUAAUACGAUUGUUUUUUGGUACAAAGGGAAACCUCUGCCAGCGAAAGAUGCCCCUUGGCAUCAGUGUGGCCCUGACCUUCCCUUCUGCCAUGAUGGCUUCCUAUUACCUGCUGCUGCAGACCUACGUGCUCCGCCUAGAAGCUAUUAUGAACAGUAUCUUGCUCUUCUUUUGUGGCUCAGAGCUGCUGCUUGAGAUGCUCACGCUGGCCACUUUCUCCAGUAUGGACAGGAUCUGAAGUACAAGAAUUCCAGUUGGUAGCCCAUCAGGUCACAACCCAUAUCCGUCUGGUACUUCAGCCACACUUGUGAAAAGUGGUAGGUCGAGCUGACCUGGGAAAGGUUUGUGUGGUUUUUCCUCAGCACAGACAUUUGGGCAUUGAGCACCUACCUGAGGCCAGUGGCACCAUCUUUAAACCGGGAUGGAUCAUCAGCAGGAGACUCUUUCCUUUUGUUGAAGGGGCAAGGCUGUCCCCAUCUUGGUGUUUCUAACAGCUUCCUAAUGACUUCAAGUUCUCUUUUGUGGUCAUUAUGGCCAGAGAGAGCUCCUUGUGUGGCCCAUCUAGUUUUGUCUGGCUUCCAGCAGAACCUGAGCCACAGUACCCUGUACGUAACACAUCUGCCCUACAUGACCAUGCAAAGAAAGCCUCAUAAUGGUGGGCUCUUAAGCGGAUUCCAAUGUGUGUUCCCCGUACCCUCCUCCUCAUCCUGCUCAAGGAGAUGGUGAUCUAGAACCCAUUUAGUAGUUCACAGUAGUAUUUUUCUAAUUCUGAUCAUGAAGCAAACACAAAUUUUUUAAAUAAAAAGUAUUUUCUGGUA
rnacentral:lncRNA from 1 species